rnacentral:rRNA from 1 species
UACGAAGGGGGCUAGCGUUGCUCGGAAUCACUGGGCGUAAAGGGCGCGCAGGCGGCCCUCCAAGUCAGGCGUGAAAGCCCCGGGCUCAACCCGGGAAUAGCGCUUGAGACUGGGGGGCUUGAGUUCGGGAGAGGAGAGUGGAAUUCCCAGUGUAGAGGUGAAAUUCGUAGAUAUUGGGAAGAACACCGGUGGCGAAGGCGGCUCUCUGGACCUGUACUGACGCUGAGGAGCGAAAGCGUGGGGAGCGAACAGG